CGUGGGUAACCUGCCUUAUAGUGGGGGAGUAGCCUUUCGAAGAAGAUUAAUACCGCAUAAGAUUGUAGUAUCGCAUGAUAUAGCAAUUAAAAGGAAGCAAUUCGCUAUAAGAUGGACCCGCGUCGCAUUAGCUAGUUGGUGAGGUAAUGGCUCACCAAGGCGACGAUGCGUAGCCGACCUGAGAGGGUGAUCGGCCACAUUGGGACUGAGACACGGCCCAGACUCCUACGGGAGGCAGCAUG
rnacentral:rRNA from 1 species